rnacentral:tRNA from 1 species
GUAGACAUAGUUUAAUAAAACAUUAGAUUGUGAUUCUGAAAUUAUAAGUUAAAAUCCUGUUGUCCACC